rnacentral:tRNA from 1 species
AUUUUUAUAGUUGAAUUACAACAGUGGUUUUUCGUAUCAUAGGCCUUGGUUAAAGUCCAGGUAAAAAUU